UUCACGGAGAGUUUGAUCCUGGCUCAGGACGAACGCUGGCGGCGUGCUUAACACAUGCAAGUCGAACGAUGAACCACUUCGGUGGGGAUUAGUGGCGAACGGGUGAGUAACACGUGGGCAAUCUGCCCUGCACUCUGGGACAAGCCCUGGAAACGGGGUCUAAUACCGGAUACAACCACUAGGGGCAUCUCUUGGUGGUGGAAAGCUCCGGCGGUGCAGGAUGAGCCCGCGGCCUAUCAGCUUGUUGGUGAGGUAAUGGCUCACCAAGGCGACGACGGGUAGCCGGCCUGAGAGGGCGACCGGCCACGACUGGGACCUGAGACACGGCCCAGACUCCUACGGGGAGGCAGCGAGUGGGGAAUAGUUGCACAAGUGGGCGAAAGCCUGAUGCAGCGACGCCG
rnacentral:ncRNA from 1 species